AGCAGCAGCCGCGGUAAGACAGAGGUCCCGAGCGUUGUUCGGAUUCAUUGGGCGUAAAGGGUGUGUAGGAGGCCAGGUAAGUCAGGUGUGAAAUCUCAGAGCUUAACUCUGAAACUGCGCUUGAUACUGCUUGGCUAGAGGAUCGGAGGGGGUAACGGAAUUUAUGGUGUAGCAGUGAAAUGCGUAGAUAUCAUAAGGAACACCGGUGGCGAAGGCGGUUACCUGGAAGAUUCCUGACUCUGAAACACGAAAGCGUGGGGAGCAAACAGGAUUAGAUACCCCGGUAGUCCCUGUCUCUUAUAC
rnacentral:rRNA from 1 species